ensembl:lncRNA
AGAACAGAUUACAGUAGAAAAGAAUAGAUUACAAAUAGAGUAGAGUAGAACAGUGUAGAGUAGAAUAGAAUAAAGUAGAGUAGAAUAGAGUUGAAUAGAGUUAGUAGAACAAUGUAGAGUUGAAUAGAGUUUAGUAGAACAGUGUAGAGUUGAAUAGAGUUUAGUAGAACAGUGUAGAGUAGAAUAGAGUUAAAUAGAGUUUAGUAGAACAGUGUAGAGUUGAAUAGAGUUAAAUAGAGUUUAGUAGAACAGUGUAGAGUUGAAUAGAGUUAAUAGAAGUUUAGUAGAACAGUGUAGAGUUGAAUAGAGUUAAAUAGAGUUUAGUAGAACAGUGCAGAGUUGAAUAGAGUUUAGUAGAACAAUGUAGAGUUGAAUAGAGUUGAAUAGAGUUUAGUAGAACAGUGUAGAGUUGAAUAGAGUUUAGUAGAACAGUGUAGAGUUGAAUAGAGUUAAAUAGAGUUUAGUAGAACAGUGUAGAGUUGAAUAGAGUUUAGUAGAACAGUGUAGAGUUGAAUAGAGUUUAGUAGAACAGUGUAGAGUUGAAUAGAGUAGCUGAAGUUGAUGAAGCUUGGUGAUGAAUAGAAAUGAUAACACUGAAGAUGAGUGAAUGAAGAAUAGAAUUGAGCGCCGCUGUAUGAAUCUCCUCUGUAUUGUAUUUAUGCAGAUCAAUGUUGAUAAUUCUAUAUACAAUUCAGUUUAUAUCUACACAUAUGUG